CAGUAGCCGCGGUAAUACGGAGGGUGCAAGCGUUACUCGGAAUUACUGGGCGUAAAGCGUGCGUAGGUGGUGGUUUAAGUCCGUUGUGAAAGCCCUGGGCUCAACCUGGGAAUUGCAGUGGAUACUGGGUCACUAGAGUGUGGUAGAGGAUAGUGGAAUUUCCGGUGUAGCAGUGAAAUGCGUAGAGAUCGGAAGGAACAUCUGUGGCGAAGGCGACUAUCUGGGCCAACACUGACACUGAGGCACGAAAGCGUGGGGAGCAAACAGGAUUAGAUACCCCCGUAGUCCCUGUCUCUUAUAC
rnacentral:rRNA from 1 species